rnacentral:rRNA from 1 species
GAGAGUUUGAUCCUGGCUCAGAACGAACGCUGGCGGCGCGUUUUAAGCAUGCAAGUCGAGCGGCAAGGGUACUUCGGUACUCCUAGAGCGGCGGACGGGUGAGUAACACGUGGAUAACCUGCCCCCGGGUGCGGGAUAGCCCAGGGAAGCCUGGAUUAAUACCUCGUAAGACCACGCUCUGCAGGGAGAGUGGGAAAAGGCGCUUCGGCGUCGCCUGGGGAUGGGUCCGCGUCCCAUUAGCUAGAUGGUAGGGUAAGAGCCUACCAUGGCGACGAUGGGUAGCCGGCCUGAGAGGGUGAACGGCCACACUGGAACUGAGACACGGUCCAGACUCCUACGGGAGGCAGCAGCUAAGAAUCUUCCGCAAUGGGCGCAAGCCUGACGGAGCGACGCCGCGUGGGCGAGGAAGGCCGCAAGGUUGUAAAGUCCUUUUCGGGAAGGGGAAUAAGAGUGAUAGGCAAUGAUCACUUGAUGACAUGAAUCCCGGAAUAAGCCCCGGCUAACUACGUGCCAGCAGCCGCGGUAACACGUAGGGGGCGAGCGUUGUUCGGAAUCAUUGGGCGUAAAGGGCGCGCAGGCGGCGUGUAAAGUCUGGCGUGGAAGUCCCCGGCUCAACUGGGGGAUUGCGUUGGAAACUGGCACGCUUGAGUACGACAGGGGAUGGCGGAAUUCCAGGUGUAGGGGUGAAAUCUGUAGAUAUCUGGAGGAACACCAACGGCGAAGGCAGCCAUCUGGAUCAGUACUGACGCUGAGGCGCGAAGGUGCGGGGAGCAAACAGGUUUAGAUACCCUGGUAGUCCGCACAGUAAACGAUGUGCACUAGGUGUCGGGCAGUCAAUGUUCGGUACCGCAGCAAACGCGUUAAGUGCACCGCCUGGGGAGUAUGCCCGCAAGGGUGAAACUCAAAGGAAUUGACGGGGGCCUGCACAAGCGGUGGAGCAUGUGGUUUAAUUCGAUGAUACGCGAGAAACCUUACCAGGACUUGACAUGGACAGGAAUGGUCGUGAAAGCGAUCAGCUUUUCGGAGUCUGUUCACAGGUGCUGCAUGGCUGUCGUCAGCUCGUGCUGUGAAGUGUUGGGUUAAGUCCCGCAACGAGCGCAACCCCUGCUGUCUGUUGCUACCAAGUAAAGUUGGGCACUCAGACGGGACCGCCGGUGACAAACCGGAGGAAGGUGGGGACGACGUCAAGUCAUCAUGGCCCUUAUGUCCUGGGCUACACACGUGCUACAAUGGCCGGUACAGAGCGCAGCGAAGCCGAGAGGCCAAGCGAAUCGCAAAAAGCCGGUCCCAGUACGGAUUGGAGUCUGCAACUCGACUCCAUGAAGUUGGAAUCGCUAGUAAUCGCGCAUCAGCAUGGCGCGAUGAAUCCGUUCCCAGGCCUUGUACACACCGCCCGUCACAUCACCCGAGUCGGGGGUACCCGAAGUAGUUAGCCUAACCCUUUGGAAGGCGGCUCCGAAGGUAUGUCUGGUGAGGGGGACGAAGUMGUAACAAGG